rnacentral:sRNA from 1 species
GGGGAGGAGGAGGAGGGACUGAGCGGCGGCGGCCCCCGCGUCCCGUGCCUCUAUGGGGGAAGCAGACAAUGGAUUAUGAUUUCAAGGCGAAGCUGGCGGCGGAGCGGGAGCGGGUGGAGGAUUUGUUUGAGUACGAAGGGUGCAAAGUGGGACGCGGCACCUACGGUCACGUCUACAAGGCGAGGCGGAAAGAUGGCUUUUGCGAGAAUUGAAGCACCCUAAUGUGAUCGCAUUGCAGAAGGUGUUCCUUUCUCACAGUGACAGGAAGGUAUGGCUGCUGUUUGAUUAUGCAGAGCAUGACUUGUGGCAUAUUAUUAAGUUUCACCGUGCAUCAAAAGCAAAUAAAAAGCCCAUGCAGUUGCCAAGAUCUAUGGUUAAAUCCUUACUUUACCAGAUUCUUGAUGGUAUCCAUUACCUCCAUGCAAAUUGGGUGCUUCACAGAGACUUG